UGUUUCGGCUAGGGGGCCAUCCCGGCUUACCAACCCGAUGCAAACUGCGAAUACCGGAGAAUGUUAUCACGGGAGACACACGGCGGGUGCUAACGUCCGUCGUGAAGAGGGAAACAACCCAGACCGCCAGCUAAGGUCCCAAAGUCAUGGUUAAGUGGGAAACGAUGUGGGAAGGCCCAGACAGCCAGGAUGUUGGCUUAGAAGCAGCCAUCAUUUAAAGAAAGCGUAAUAGCUCACUGGUCGAGUCGGCCUGCGCGGAAGAUGUAACGGGGCUAAACCAUGCACCGAAGCUGCGGCAGCGAACGUAUCACUUAAAGCGAUUCAGCGGGUUACGAUUGACGGAGCGAAGCGACGUCAAAGCGUAUACAAAGUCGAGUCGGUUUAAGGAUACGUUCGUUGGGUAGGGGAGCGUUCUGUAAGCCUGUGAAGGUGUGUCGUGAGGCAUGCUGGAGGUAUCAGAAGUGCGAAUGC
rnacentral:rRNA from 1 species